rnacentral:rRNA from 1 species
UACAGAGGGUGCGAGCGUUGUCCGGAAUCACUGGGCGUAAAGGGCGCGUAGGUGGCGGCCCAAGUCCAUGGUGAAAGCUCGAUGCUCAACAUCGAGUCGGCCACGGAUACUGGGUUGCUCGAGCACUGUAGGGGCAGAUGGAAUUCCGGGUGUAGCGGUGGAAUGCGUAGAGAUCCGGAAGAACACCGGUGGCGAAGGCGGU